rnacentral:lncRNA from 1 species
GGUAUUAUUCAACGAUGAAUUUUAAUAGAAUUGAAAUCCAACACUAAUCCAGUGUUUGUGGAAGCCCAUUGGCCCAUUGGUUGAUCAAGGGUUGAUUAAUGCUUCUACACUAAGAGGUCUGGGGUUCGAGUCCCAGAUAUUGAGAUUUAUUAUCAAAUUUGCAGAUUAAUGGAGGAAAGUGUGCAGAAGAUCUUCAGCGAUGUACAAUUAUAGCCGUGCGUCAGGAUUCUACGCAGAGAAGGAAGUGUCGCCAGGUCGUGGAUCAUUGAAGGUAUUCAUCAAGAUCAUGAAGAAGAAAGUGU